rfam:Stegodyphus mimosarum contig42423, whole genome shotgun sequence.
GCCUUCGUGGUGUAAUGGUCAGCACACUGAGCCGGUAAUUCAGAGGUCCCGUGGUUCGAUCCCCGGCGAAGGCA